AGAGGAGAAUCUUAGUCCCGGCUCAGAGUGAAGCCUCCUCUUUAGCACAGGAUCUUUGUCCCAGCCUCUUCCUCAGUAGAAUGGCAGGCAGCGUGUGGAGGUCAAUGUUGUCCCAGGUGGUGGUGGGGGCAGUCAGGGGACCUGCUCUGUCCUCCGCUUCCUUUUCCAGAGGGAUGCAGACAGUCACGCUGAUUCCUGGAGACGGCAUCGGACCGGAGAUCUCCGCUGCGGUCAUGAAGAUCUUUGAGGCUGCAAAGGCUCCCAUCCGAUGGGAGGAGAGAAAUGUAACGGCCAUAAAGGGACCCGGCGGGAGGUGGAUGAUCCCACCUGACGCUAAAGAGUCGAUGGACAAGAGCAAGAUCGGACUGAAAGGACCCCUGAAGACGCCCAUCGCUGCAGGUCACCCCUCCAUGAACCUGCUGCUGAGGAAGACCUUUGACCUCUAUGCUAACGUGCGACCCUGCGUGUCCAUCGAGGGCUACAAGACGCCGUACACUGACGUCAACCUGGUCACCAUCCGAGAGAACACGGAGGGCGAGUACAGCGGCAUCGAACACGUGAUCGUCGACGGAGUCGUUCAAAGCAUCAAACUGAUUACUGAGAAUGCCAGCAGACGCAUCGCCGAGUACGCCUUCGAGUACGCCAGGAACAACCAGAGAAGCAGCGUGACGGCCGUCCACAAAGCCAACAUCAUGCGAAUGUCAGACGGUCUGUUUCUGAGAAAAUGUCGUGAGGUGGCUGAGAACUUCAAAGACAUCAAGUUUACUGAGAUGUAUCUGGACACCGUUUGUCUCAAUAUGGUUCAGGAUCCAACCCAGUUUGAUGUGCUGGUCAUGCCCAACCUGUACGGAGACAUUCUCAGCGACCUGUGUGCCGGUCUGAUCGGAGGACUCGGAGUCACUCCCAGUGGGAACAUCGGAGCAAACGGAGUCGCAAUCUUUGAAUCGGUUCACGGCACCGCCCCCGACAUCGCCGGCAUGGACCUGGCCAACCCCACCGCCCUGCUGCUCAGCGCCGUCAUGAUGCUGCGUCACAUGGGUCUCCACGACUGCGGCAACAAGAUCCAGGCGGCCUGUUUUGACACCAUCAGAGACAGGAAGGUGCUGACAAAGGACCUGGGAGGAAACUCCAAGUGUUCAGAGUUUACAGCCGAAAUCUGCCGUCGCAUCCAGGAUCUGGACUGAAACUGCAGUCGUGGAGCUGCUGUGGGAGCCUCCCCCGCUGACCGGUUUGGGAAACGGUUGGCCAGGCUGAGCGGCAGUUUCUGGUUUUCUUCCUGCUGUUUGAUAUCAGAGUUUUUGCUGUACAGAGAUGAUGUCAGUGGAGGGGGCGGAGCUUCUGCAGCAGCCAACAUGAUCAAACAUAUGCACAACUGUCAUGUGACCAGGUUGGAAAAAACACAAGUCCUGACUGGAGAAGCGUUUUCACAUCCGGUCGAACAAAAGGAAGAGCUCUACAGGAAGUGAUGCGGCUCGCAGACUGGACAGUUCCUGCAUGUGGGCAUGUGGGGACGUCCUCACUAACGUCUCUGACUGUCCAGAUGAAUCUCACUGAUAGAGCAGGUCAGAGGUCAAAGCUUCUGUCUGGCCUUAUGUCUGAAUAAAACUAAAAUCAACCGAAUCGUUUUCUUCACUCGUUU